ensembl:rRNA 5S_rRNA 5S ribosomal RNA
CUAGUUAGUACUUGGAUAGGAGACUGCCUGGGAAUACCCAG